rnacentral:rRNA from 1 species
AUACGUAUGUCGCAAGCGUUAUCCGGAUUUAUUGGGCGUAAAGCCCGUCUAGGCGGUUUAGUAAGUCUGAUGUGAAAAUGCGGGGCUCAACCCCGUAUUGCGUUGGAAACUGCUAUACUAGAGUACUGGAGAGGUAGGCGGAACUACAAGUGUAGAGGUGAAAUUCGUAGAUAUUUGUAGGAAUGCCGAUGGGGAAGCCAGCCUACUGGACAGAUACUGACGCUAAAGCGCGAAAGCGUGGGUAGCAAACAGGAUUAGAUACCCUGGUAGUCCACGCCGUAAACGAUGAUUACUAGGUGUUGGGGGUCGAACCUCAGCGCCCAAGCUAACGCGAUAAGUAAUCCGCCUGGGGAGUACGUACGCAAGUAUGAAACUCAAAUGAAUUGGCGGGG